AAAAAGUUAAAUACAACUGAACCGUACUCAUUCAAUAGCAUAGAGGCAAGCACACAUACAAAUAUUGAUACGUGCUUAUUGACACUCACGGGCAAUUUAAAGUAAAAAAUGAACACAACAUAUAUUUGCAAUUUGGGAGGGAGCGGCAGUACCCACAGAAAAGAUGCGAACUGAACGCAAGAAGGAUGAUUUGAGAUAAGAACCCCAAACCGCAGACGUGUGAGGCAGAUGGGCCAUUCUUAAAGGUCAGGCAAAUUAAAAAAAAAACAACAAAAAAAAAAACCAGUAAACCAUUGUUAAUAAGUUGGAACAAUACUCCGCGUCCCUGGUCACAUCUUUGAUCACAUGCAACAAAGGCACUAUUGAGAAUGCAGCGGGAGGGAAGAUGAGUUCCAUUCUUCUUUGAUAAUUACCGGCAAACUUUAGCUGCCUUUUCCGAGCGCACGGCCUCAAUGGGGCGGUUCGGUUUCCGCUCCGAAAAUGGGAGUAUGCCGGCAAACUGAGGAAACCCAAGCAACGUUGAACACAUCGGCCAGACUGACGUAGCUGGCAACGAUCGACGACAAUCAAGGAUCUUUUGUUUCGGUGAAUUUGCCGUGGAAAGGUGACCAAUCAUUACGGUACUUCAUUUAAAUGUUGGAUUUUAUUUAAGACGAGGAAUCAAGAAAAAAAAAAAAAAACAAUGCUGUGGAGUAGAAAACUGCUCUGUCCAAAGAUAAAAGACAACAUGAAGGAAGGUAAUGCUGCAGUCAACUUUGCAGCGCCGCGAAGGCACAUCGUCGCACCAAGUCGCCCGCUGAAGUUUUCCUGCGCCGUCGCUGGCGACGCACCCCCGGCACUCAUCCGCAGGUUGCAAGGGGCCCGGUUGAUCCAUUUUCCAAAGCCUAAAACACAGUUGACGAAGUCUCUACGAGGGAUUGAGGCUUGCGGACGACCGCACGAACAAUUGAAUGUGAACAAUAUCGACAAAAACAAGGCUGUAUUUUCGAAGGAACGGCCUCGUGUAUCCCGCCGGCUGCCGCGCAGGAACAUGCCUUGACUUGUUGCAGUGGCCAAGUGCAGCACAGACACGACACAAGCGGCUUUCGGGUCAAAGCCCGCAGAACACCUCCGGGCACCGGCUGAGCGGUUCCAAACGUGGACGGGGGGGUGCUGGGACUGCUUGACCGCCUUGGCUGUGAUCAAGAACCAGUGCGAGAAAACGGACCAGUUUGCGACCAAAUGACGACAACUGUGGCUGUCUCGUAUUAGCAGAGCCGAUCUAGCAGCAAAGUCAUUCCCUUACGCCUGAGUUUGCUCGGAGCAUUUUGUUCUUGAACUUCCAGGUUCGAGGCAGACCUGGAAAGUGUGGAGGAUUCAAGAUGCCACAGUCGAGGCGGACCGCGGUGGCGAGGACCGGCCGGCGGGAGGAAGCACGCGGAUGCUGUGGGUGUUUCUCUGGCAGUGUCUUAGCUGGUUGUUGUGAGGAGUGAGAACGAAGCAAUCAGCAAGUAUACUGCCGCAGAAAUUCUUUGCAAUAAUAAUCCGGCAGCACCGACGUGGACUAUCGGAGGUGAAAACCUUAAGCGGCCUUGUACCAAUCACCCAACUGCAGAAUAUGACGUCACGUGAAGAAAGCUGAAAUAAAACAUUUGAUAAAUUAUGAGCGGAGGGAAUAGUGCUGAUUCAGGAAUCUUUUGGAUAAAGGCCUCACGGUCUAGUUUUGAAGUUCUAGUCCUCUGCUGCCAUCCAGUGGCGAAGACAAACUCCCACCAUGCAACAAAAGCAGAGUAGCUUACUUGCAGAGUUGUUUAUCUACCGGGUAUGAAUCGUCAAAAUAUAUCCAUAUUGAUUAACUUCCAGCCUGUUAUGUUAAUUUUCUAUUUUUUUUUUGCUGAUUUACUGACCAUGUCUCCACUUUCUAAUUCUAAUAAGACUGAAGAAAAGAGCUGUACAUAAAACAUGACCUUUUCAGAGGUUUUAACUGACACAAUCAUAGAGGUAUUAAUUUAACUGUCAAUUUCUGUGUUUUAAAUGCACUGCAUCAUCAUAUACUGGUUACUUGUUACAUUCUUCUUUUCCUUUCGUCUUGUCCCGUUAGGGAUCACCAUGGUGUGUCAUCUUUUUCUAUCUUAGCCUAUCAAGUGCAUCUUCUUCUUUAACACCCACUGUCAUCAUGUCCUCCCUCACGACGUCCAUCGACCUUUUCUUUGGUCUUCCUCUCGCUCUCUCUUCCUUGACAGCUCCAUCUUCGUCACCCUUCUACCAAUUUACUCACUUUCUCGCCUCUGGACAUGUCCACACCAUCGAAGUCUGCCCUCCCUAACCUUUUCUCCAAAACAUCCAACUUUGGCUGUCCCUCUAAAGAGCUCAUUUCUAAUCCUAUCCAACCUGCUCACUCCGAGCGAGAACCUCAACAUCUUCAUUUCUGUCACCUCCAUUUCUGCUUCCCGUUGCUUCUUCAGUGCCACCGUCUAUAAUCCGAACAUCAUAGCCGGCGUCACCUCUGUUUUAUAAACUUUGCCCUUCUUCAUCCUAGCAUAGACUCUUCCGUCACGCAACACACCAGACACCUUCCGCCAGCUGCUCCAACCUGCUUGGACCCGUUUCUUCACUUCUUUACCACACCCGCCAUUGCUCUGGAUUGUUGACCCUAACUAUUUGAAGCCAUCCACCCUCGCCAUUUCUUCCCCCAGUAGCCUCACCGUUCACUCUUCCCCCUCCACCCCUCUCAUUCAUACACAUAUAUUCUGUUACAUUACAUGAAAAAGUAAAAAAAUAUUCCGAAAAGCCCUCAGCGUGAGUCAACAGUUUUACACCACUGCGAGCACAAUAAUAGAAACGUGUGAAAAUAAUACCUCUGUCAAUCACAACUCAGCAUUAUUAUCUUUGCAAAGGCAGAUUAUUUGAUAGCUUCUAUUAAUGGUGCAAGUGGUCAUGUAUUGUGGCCGGCCAGCGCAUCUUCACGGUGAAUCAUGUGUGGUUAUGUACUUUAUGAUGACUGCAGAAUAAAAUGAAACGGAAACAUUC